rnacentral:SRP_RNA from 1 species
CGACGGGCCUCCUCGCAUGGAAGCGCGGCCAACCGGGUCAGGUGGGGAACCAAGCAGCCCUAACCGUUGUGACCAGUGCCGAGAUCAGGCUCGUCACCUU